AGAGUUUGAUCCUGGCUCAGGAUGAACGCUGGCGGCGUGCUUAACACAUGCAAGUCGAACGAAGCAUAACCAUGGAUUUCCUUCGGGGAUGAAGCGGUUAUGACUGAGUGGCGGACGGGUGAGUAACGCGUGGGCAACCUGCCCCAUACCGGGGGACAACAGCUGGAAACGGCUGCUAAUACCGCAUACGUUCCGGGGACCGCAUGGUACCUGGAAGAAAACUCCGGUGGUAUGGGAUGGGCCCGCGUCUGAUUAGCUGGUUGGCGGGGUAACGGCCCACCAAGGCGACGAUCAGUAGCCGGCCUGAGAGGGCGGCCGGCCACAUUGGGACUGAGACACGGCCCAGACUCCUGCGGGAGGCAGCAGUGGGGAAUAUUGCACAAUGGGGGAAACCCUGAUGCAGCGACGCCGCGUGAGCGAGGAAGUACCUCGGUAUGUAAAGCUCUAUCAGCAGGGAAGAAAGUGACAGUACCUGACUAAGAAGCCCCGGCUAACUACGUGCCAGCAGCCGCGGUAAUACGUAGGGGGCAAGCGUUAUCCGGAUUCACUGGGCGUAAAGGGAGCGCAGGCGGCACGGCAAGUCUGAUGUGAAAACCCGGGGCUCAACCCCGGGACUGCAUUGGAAACUGGAGGACUGGAGAGCAGGAGAGGGCGGUGGAACUCCAUGUGUAGCGGUAAAAUGCGUAGAUAUAUGGAAGAACACCAGUGGCGAAGGCGGCCGCCUGGCCUGUUGCUGACGCUGAGGCACGAAAGCGUGGGCCGCAAAGAGGAUUAGAUACCCUAGUAGUCCACGCGGGAACCCUUAGGGACCAAGUGUUGGGGGUGAAACCUCAGUGCGGAAGUUAAGCGCAGUGAGUCCUCGGCUGGGGGAGUAGGCACGCAAGUGUGAAACUCAAAGGAAUUGUCGGGGGCCCGCACAAGCGGGGGAGUAUGUGGUUUAAUUUGAAGCAACGCGAAGAACCUUACCAGGCCUUGACAUGGGAUGCGAAGAUGCAGAGAUGCAUCGGAGGUCAACAUCCACACAGGUGGUGCAUGGUUGUCGUCAGCUCGUGUCGUGAGAUGUUGGGUCAAGUCCCGCAACGAGCGCAACCCUUGUGGCAUGUUGCUAACAGGAAAAGCUGAGGACUCAUGCCAGACUGCCGGUGACAAACCGGAGGAAGGCGGGGAUGACGUCAAAUCAUCAUGCCCCUUAUGGCCUGGGCUACACACGUACUACAAUGGCGGCUACAAAGAGCAGCGAGACAGGGAUGUCGAGCGAAUCUCAUAAAAGCCGUCCCAGUUCGGAUUGGAGGCUGCAACCCGCCUCCAUGAAGUUGGAAUCGCUAGUAAUCGCGGAUCAGCAUGCCGCGGUGAAUAAAAUCCCGGGCCUUGCACACACCGCCCGUCA
rnacentral:rRNA from 1 species